UACGAAGGGGGCUAGCGUUGCUCGGAAUCACUGGGCGUAAAGCGCACGUAGGCGGAUUGCUAAGUCAGGGGUGAAAUCCUGGAGCUCAACUCCAGAACUGCCUUUGAUACUGGCAACCUUGAGUCCGGGAGAGGUGAGUGGAACUGCGAGUGUAGAGGUGAAAUUCGUAGAUAUUCGCAAGAACACCAGUGGCGAAGGCGGCUCACUGGCCCGGUACUGACGCUGAGACACGAAAGCGUGGGUAGCAAACAGG
rnacentral:rRNA from 1 species